GAUGAACGCUGGCGGCGUGCCUAAUACAUGCAAGUCGAGCGAACGGACGAGAAGCUUGCUUCUCUGAUGUUAGCGGCGGACGGGUGAGUAACACGUGGAUAACCUACCUAUAAGACUGGGAUAACUUCGGGAAACCGGAGCUAAUACCGGAUAAUAUUUUGAACCGCAUGGUUCAAAAGUUAAAGACGGUCUUGCUGUCACUUAUAGAUGGAUCCGCGCUGCAUUAGCUAGUUGGUAAGGUAACGGCUUACCAAGGCAACGAUGCAUAGCCGACCUGAGAGGGUGAUCGGCAACGCUGGAAUGGGAGCACGGUCAAGACCCCUACGGGAGGCACAAGUAGGGAAUCUUCCGGAAUGGGCGAAAUCCUGACGGAGCAACGCCGCGUGAGUGAUGAAGGUCUUCGGAUCGUAAAACUCUGUUAUUAGGGAAGAACAUAUGUGUAAGUAACUGUGCACAUCAUGACGGUACCUAAUCAGAAAGCCACGGCUAACUACGUG
rnacentral:rRNA from 1 species